AACGAUCUCUGCCGCGCCGCCGUUGAGAAAUCGUGGUCCCAAUUCGUCGAGUCUUUUGUGACCACGCCACGGCAUUCGCGUUCCGUCAGUGAGACUUCUGCUGCACUCAGCACAGCUCACCAACGCCAGGAUUUUUCUUGCUACAAAUGCGGCUACAUAGGCUAACACAUCUGGGUUUGUGUCUGCUACAUUAUAGCUGUGCUCCCUCGAAGUGCCCUGGCUUGGUUCUUCACUGUCAGGGACAUGGUAGCUAAUAGCACCCAGCCGUUGAUCAAGUGUGCUGUUUCUGAGGCAUUUGAUUAGGUGUGGGAAGUCCGAAGUGAACCAAAGCCUCCUGGAAACGUCGCUGGGAUGGAUGCAGCUG